AACAAACGCUGGCGGCGUGCCUAACACAUGCAAGUCGUACGAGAAAGUCCCGUUCGCGGGAUGAGUAAAGUGGCGCACGGGUGAGUAACGCGUGGAUAAUCUGCCCUUUAGCGGGGAAUAACCCAUCGAAAGGUGGGCUAAUACCACAUAAUGCUGUUUUCACUUCGGUGGGACAGCCAAAGAUGGCCUCUGCUUGCAAGCUGUCGCUGAAGGAUGAGUCCGCGUACCAUUAGCUGGUUGGUAGGGUAAUGGCCUACCAAGGCUACGAUGGUUAGCUGGUCUGAGAGGAUGAUCAGCCACACUGGAACUGAGACACGGUCCAGACACCUACGGGUGGCAG
rnacentral:rRNA from 1 species